rnacentral:rRNA from 1 species
AGGGCAGCUACCCAGCGAUGGGGUGCGAAUCUCGAAAGCCUAUCUCAGUUCGGAUUGGAGGCUGAAACCCGCCUCCAUGAAGUUGGAUUCGCUAGUAAUCGCGCAUCAGCCAUGGCGCGGUGAAUACGUUCCCGGGCCCUGUACACACCGCCCGUCAAGCCAUGGGAGCUGGGGGUGCCUGAAGUUCGUGACCGCAAGGAUCGACCUAGGGCAAAACCGGUGACUGGGGCUAAGUCGUAACAAGGUAUC